rnacentral:lncRNA from 1 species
AAAAAAAGAAUGAAGAAUAACGUGAACUUUAUUUUUCUACUUUAAAAAUAACUUCCUCUUUUAAAAUAAAAUAACAUAAAAAAAUAAAUAUAAAAAACACUCACAUGGAUUCAAACACGAAACCUAGAGAUAAGUUAACGCGCUCACAACCAUUGAACCAGUAGGCUCAUUCUAACAUUAAAACGCAAAACUGAACCCAAA